rnacentral:rRNA from 1 species
UAUAAAUUGGAGGUUCAACACCUAGGCACCCAGAGACAAGGAAGGGUGUAGUAAUUGAUGAAAUGCUUUGGGGAGUUGAAAAUAAGCGUAAAUCCAGAGAUUCCCGAAUAGGUCAACCUUUCGAAUUGCUGCUGAAUCCAUGGGCAGGCAAGAGACAACCUGACAAACUGAAACAUCUUAGUAGCUAGAGGAAAAGAAAGCAAAAGCGAUUCCCGUAAUAGCGGCGAGGGAAAUAAACCGUGAAAAUGGGGUUGUGGGAGAGCAAUACAAGCGUCGUGCUGCUAGGCGAAGUAGUGGAGUGAUGCACCCUAGAUGGCUAGAGUCCAGUAGCCGAAAGCAUCACUAGCUUAUGCUCUAACCUGAGUAGCAUGGGGCACAUGGAAUCCCAUGUGAAUCAGCAAGGACCACCUUGCAAGGCUAAAUAUUCCUGGGUGACCGAUAACGAAGUAGUACCGUGAGGGAAAGGUGAAAAGAACCCCCAUUAGGGAGUGAAAUAGAACGUGAAACCAUGAGGCUCCCAAGCAGUGGGAGGAGAAAUCUCUAACUGCGUGCCUGUUGAAGAAUGAGCCGGCGACUCAUAGGUAGUGGCUUGGUUAAGGGAACCCACCGGAGCCGUAGCGAAAGCGAGUCUUCAUAGGGCAAUUGUCACUACUUAUGGACCCAAACCUGGGUGAUCUAUCCAUGACCAGGGUGAAGCUUGGGUGAAACUAAGUGGAGGUCCGAACCGACUGAUGUUGAAGAAUCAGCGGAUGAGUUGUGGUUAGGGGUGAAAUGCCACUCGAACCCAGAGCUAGCUGGUUCUCUCUGAAAUGUGUUAAGGCACAAUAGUUGACUGGGCAUCUAAGGGUAAAGCACUGUUUCGGUGCGGGCCACGAGAGCGGUACUAAAUCGAGGUAAACUCUGAAUACUAGAUAUGACCCCAAAAUAACAUGGGUCAAGGUCGGCCAGUGAGACGAUGGGGGAUAAGCUUCAUCGUCGAGGGGGAAACAGCCCGGAUCACCAGCUAAAGCCCCUAAAUGACCGCUCAGUGAUAAAGGAGGUAGGGGUGCAGAGAUAGCUAGGAGGUUUUCCUAGAAGUAGCCAACCUUGAAAGAGUGCGUAAUAGCUCACUGAUUGAGCGUUCUUGCGCCGAAGAUGAACGGGGCUAAGCGAUCUGCCGAAGCUAUGGGAUGUAAAAAUGCAUUGAUAGGGGAGCGUUCCGCUUAGAGGGAAGCUCCUGCGCGAGCAGGUGUGGACGAAGCGGAAGCAAGAGUGUCGGCUUGAGUAACGCAAACAUUAGUGAGAAUCCAAUGCCCCAAAAACCUAAGGGUUCCUUUGCAAGGUUCGUCCACGGAGGGUGAGUCAGGGCUUAAGAUCAGGCCGAAAGGCGUAGUUGAUGGACAAUAGGUGAAUAUUCCUGUACUACCCCUUUUUGGUCUUGAGGGACGGAGGAGGCUAGGUUAGUCGAAAGAUGGUUAUCAGUUCAAGGAUGCAAGGUGACCUUGCUUUUUCAGGGAAGGGUAAGAAGGGGUAGAGGAAAUGCCUCGAGCCAAUGUCCGAGUACCAAGCACUAUGGCGUUGAAGUAACCCAUGCCAUACUCCCAGGAAAAGCUCGAACGACCUUCAACAAAAGGGUACCUGUACCGGAAACCGACACAGGUGGGUAGGUAGAGAAUAACUAGGGGCACGAGAUAACUCUCUCUAAGGAACUUGACAAAAUAGCCCUGUAACUUGGGGAGAAGGGGUGCCUCCUCACAAAGGGGGUCGUAGUGACCAGGCUCAGGCAACUAUUUACUAAAAACACAUGUCUCCGCAAAGUCGUAAGACCAUGUAUGGCGGCUGACGCCUGCCCAGUGCCGGAAGGUUAAGGAAGCUGGUGACCUGAUGAUCGGGGAGCUGGUGACCGACGCCCAGGUGAAUGGCGGCCGUAACUAUAAUGGUCCUAAGGUAGCGAAAUUCCUUGUCGGGUAAGUUCUGACCCGCACGAAAGGCGUAACGAUCUGGGCACUGUCUCAAAGAGAGGCUCAGUGAAAUAGACAUGUUUGUGAAGAUGCGGCUACCUGCAUCUGGACAGAAAGACCCUAUGAAGCUUUAUGUUCCCUGGGAUUGGCUUUGGGCCUUUCCUGCACAGCUUAGGUGGAGGGCGAAGAAGGCCUCCUUUCGAGGGGGCCCGAGCCAUCGUGAGAUACCACUCUGGAAGAGCUAGAAUUCUAACCUUGUGUCAGGACCUAUGGGCCAAGGGACAGUCUCAGUUAGACAGUUUCUAUGGGGCGUAGGCCUCCCAAAAGGUAACGAAGGAGUGCAAAGGUUUCCUCGGGUCGGACGAAGAUUGGACCUCGAGUGCAAAGGCAGAAGGGAGCUUGACUACAAGACCCACCCGUCGAGUAGGGACAAAAGUCGGCCUUAGUGAUUCGACGGUGCCGAGUGGAAGGGCCGUCACUCAACGGAUAACAGGCAGAUCUUCCCCAAGAGUUCACAUCGACGGGAAGGUUUGGCACCUCGAUGUCGGCUCUUCGCCACUUGGGGUUGUAGUAUGUUCCAAGAGUUGGGCUAUUUGCCCAUUAAAGCGGUACGUGAGCUAGGUUCAGAAUGUCAUGAGACAGUUCGGUCCAUAUCCGAUGUGGACGUUAGAGCAUUGAGAGGACCUUUCCCUAAUACGAGAGGACCGGGAAGGACGCACCUCUGGUGUAUCAGUUAUCGUGCCCACGGUAAAUGCAGGGUAGCCAAGUGCGGAGCGAAUAAUUGCUGAAAGCAUCUAAGUAGUAAGUCCACCCCAAGAUGAGUGCUCUCCUAUUCCGACUUCCCCUGAGCCUCCGGUAGCACAAUUGAAGCAGCGACGGGUUCUCUGGCCUUGUGGGGAUGUAGUGACAGAAGUCUUGAGAAUCCAAGAUAAGGUCGCGGGAGAGACGAGCCGUUUAUCAUUACGAUAGGUGACAAGUGGAAGUGCAGUGAUGUAUGCAGCUGAGGCAUCCUAACAGACUGAGAGAUUUGAAC